rnacentral:rRNA from 1 species
UGGCUCAGGAUGAACGCUGGCGGCGUGCUUAACACAUGCAAGUCGAACGAUGACUUUUGUGCUUGCACAGAAUGAUUAGUGGCGAACGGGUGAGUAACACGUGAGUAACCUGCCCCUGACUCUGGGAUAAGCCUGGGAAACUGGGUCUAAUACUGGAUAUGCACCGUAGACCGCAUGGUUUUUGGUGGAAAGAAUUUUGGUCAGGGAUGGACUCGCGGCCUAUCAGCUUGUUGGUGAGGUAAUGGCUCACCAAGGCGACGACGGGUAGCCGGCCUGAGAGGGUGACCGGCCACACUGGGACUGAGACACGGCCCAGACUCCUACGGGAGGCAGCAGUGGGGAAUAUUGCACAAUGGGCGAAAGCCUGAUGCAGCGACGCCGCGUGAGGGAUGACGGCCUUCGGGUUGUAAACCUCUUUCAGUAGGGAAGAAGCGAAAGUGACGGUACCUGCAGAAGAAGCGCCGGCUAACUACGUGCCAGCAGC